UCCUGCCAAACAUCAGAUUUCACUGAGGGAAGAAGACAACUCCAUAUCUUCCUCUGAAAUCUUCUCAUCCACAAGUGUUCCUGAAGAACUCCAUUAAUUGGUUUUUAAAAGGUUCUCUAAAACUCACUCCGCGAGAAUAUGACACAAUAACCAAACCCUCAUUUGCCCCAUCCAAAAGAAGAAUUCUUCAGAUGUGAAAAAAGUUCUUUGUAAAAACCAUGCAAUUUUUAAUGAAAAUCUCCAUAUGAUAACUUAAAAUUGAUCAAGGAAAUGAAUUAAUGCUAAAUAAGAAAAGCACUUUAGAAACAUAUUAACAAUGUGGCCCAAGAUUGUUGAAAUCUGAGCAUGAAUAAGCAAGGCCUGACUUGAACAGGAUCUAUGCUAUAGUUCUAAGGAGACCAGUACAUAAGAUCACUUUUUACCUUUUCGUGUACAAUUUUUUUGUGAUAACAGACCCACAGAUUAUCAUUGUAUGUCCUUUUAAGGUCCCUUUCCAUUUUUAAGGCUUAACAUAACAACUAAAAAAGUGAUUUUUCUUUCUUAACUUUGAGGCAAGUGACCCUCUACAAAUUAAUGGACAUAUACACACUCUACUUUUUCACUAAACCACCAAAUAUAGGAUCCAAAAUCCCUAAAACUAUUGAACUUAUUUUGGAAGGGGGCCGCGCGAACGCAGGCCCCCACAGCAACAAAUUAUGAUGUAGGCUCCACCACUUGGGUAGACCUUAGGCUAGCACCCCUCCUAAGUGCAAUGGAGGUCACUUGCCUAGGCCAUGGACCUUGAUGAUCAUCCAUUGACCCCAUCCAGGUAAGUAUGUUGCAAUGAAUCACACGCUUGUUCUUUAUACCUCAUGUUCCGUACUAUUCACUCUAACAAUUCCGAUGUGGGACUAGUGUUAACAUGAUAUUUUUGUGUGAAAGAUAAUCAUCAUUUAAAUCUAAACUACUAAGACGUAUUUGUUCCCAAGAUUUAGUGUUGAAGUUGUAUGUACACCGUUUAUAUCAACUUAGCAUAUCAACAAUUCAUACACCAACUUGACCCCUACUUACAACUUAGCAGAUCAACAAUUCAUACAACAACUCACAUUUGCAACCUCCAUUAGGAUUUAUAUGCAUAACUUUGCUCUUGUUAUGAAAUCAACUCAGGUCAAAUCUUACAAUUUAUAUCAGUUUUUAUUUAGUUUCAAGUUAACGUUUUUAAUCUUGAAAACAUAGAUCAAUGUUAAUUUUGCUACUAUAAUGUUAGUUGCAAUAUUAUAUUUUAUGCUAAAAUAAAAAAUAAAGUUUGAAUAAAUUGAAAAAAAUAGAGUAUCAAUAAUACAGACUUAAAAAGUAUAUCACAAAAAAAAUACAAAUAUAUUUAACUAAUGUUGUAGGACUUUACCCCUAAGGGAGCCCUUCCAGAAAUUCUCAAAGGCUUGAGUUACCUCAAGCCUAAGAGGGGGUUUGGAAAUAGUUUUCAACCAGCAAUAGACGCGCCUCGGUUAGAACCUCACUAGCUGCGUCAUUGCCCCAAGCGCAAAGAUAGAAUUGAAUGAAGAAUAAGCUUCCUUUUUAUAUAACUUCAAGCUUAUCUAAUUCCUCUCAUUAGCAAUAUGGGACUUAGAAGUUUUGGCAACAACUAAGACAAGCAAAUAGUAGAAAAAUAACCCCGUCAUCAAACAAGUACCAAAGUUAUUGAAUUUUACUUACUUAUAAUCCAGCCACAAAAUGACAAUCUUCAACUCCCAGCUUUGACCCCUACUUUUUCUACAUCCGAAGGCUUUCGGUGGAAAAAUCUUUAGGAGACAAAGAUGUGUUGAUGGAAUCA